GACCGUGCAAAGGUAGCAUAAUCAUUUGCCUUAUAAUUGAAGGCUAGUAUGAAUGGUUUGACGAGAAUUAAGCUGUCUCUUUUUAAAUAGAUAUAAUUUUAUAUAUAGGUGAAGAAGCCUAUAUUUUAUUGAAAGACAAGAAGACCCUAUCGAGCUUUAAAGAAUUUAAUGGACUUAUCAUAUAUUUAUUAAAAAAGUAAGGCCAUUGAAAAUUUUGGUUGGGGCGACUGAGGAACAAAGAAAGCUUCCUUUUAUUUUAGAAAUCUACUAGUAUUGAUCCAAUAAAUUUGAUUAAAGGAAUUAGUUACCGUAGGGAUAACAGCAUAAUCUUCUUUGAGAGUUCCCAUCGAAAAGGAGGUUUGUGACCUCGAUGUUGGACCAGAAUACCCAGAAGAUGCAGCCGUCUUCAAUGGUUGGUCUGUUCGACCAUUAAAAUUCUACGUGAUCUGAGUUCAGACCGGCGUGAGCCAGGUCAGUUUCUAUCUUCAAUUUUUAAAAUAAUCUUAGUACGAAAGGACCAGAUUAUUACAAGAAUUUUUGUUAUAUUUGAUUAAAUAUAAAGAACAUUUCAAAGGAUGACAUAUCAAAUUAGCAAAGAUUAAUGCAAUUGACUUAGGAUCAAUAGACAUAGGUGGAAUCCCUUUAUUUGAUACAUAAAGAUGGCAGAAAAA
rnacentral:rRNA from 1 species